rnacentral:rRNA from 1 species
UACGUAGGGGGCAAGCGUUGGUCCGGAAUCAUUGGGCGUAAAGCGCGCGCAGGCGGUCCUUUAAGUCUGAUGUGAAAGCCCACGGCUCAACCGUGGAGGGUCAUUGGAAACUGGGGGACUUGAGUACAGAAGAGAAGAGUGGAAUUCCACGUGUAGCGGUGAAAUGCGUAGAGAUGUGGAGGAACACCAGUGGCGAAGGCGACUCUUUGGUCUGUAACUGACGCUGAGGCGCGAAAGCGUGGGGAGCAAACAGG